AAAUUGAAGAGUUUGAUCAUGGCUCAGAUUGAACGCUGGCGGCAGGCCUAACACAUGCAAGUCGAACGGUAACAGGAAGCAGCUUGCUGCUUCGCUGACAAGUGGCGGACGGGUGAGUAAUGUCUGGGAAACUGCCUGAUGGAGGGGGAUAACUACUGGAAACGGUGG
rnacentral:rRNA from 1 species